rnacentral:rRNA from 1 species
UACGUAGGGUGCAAGCGUUGUCCGGAAUUAUUGGGCGUAAAGAGCUCGUAGGCGGUUCGUCGCGUCGGCUGUCAAAUCCCGAGGCUCAACCUCGGGUCUGCAGUCGAUACGGGCGGACUGGAGUUCGGCAGGGGAGACUGGAAUUCCUGGUGUAGCGGUGAAAUGCGCAGAUAUCAGGAGGAACACCGGUGGCGAAGGCGGGUCUCUGGGCCGAUACUGACGCUGAGGAGCGAAAGCGUGGGGAGCGAACAGG